rnacentral:rRNA from 1 species
UGGCGGCGUGCCUAAUACAUGCAAGUCGAGCGAAGUUUUUCUGGUGCUUGCACUAGAAAAACUUAGCGGCGAACGGGUGAGUAACACGUAAAGAACCUGCCUCAUAGACGGGGACAACUAUUGGAAACGAUAGCUAAUACCGGAUAACAGCAUAAAUCGCAUGAUAUAUGUUUAAAAGUUGGUUUCGGCUAACACUAUGAGAUGGCUUUGCGGUGCAUUAGCUAGUUGGUGGGGUAAAGGCCUACCAAGGCGACGAUGCAUAGCCGACCUGAGAGGGUGAUCGGCCACACUGGGACUGAGACACGGCCCAGACUCCUACGGGAGGCAGCAGUAGGGAAUCUUCCGCAAUGGGCGAAAGCCUGACGGAGCAACGCCGCGUGAGUGAAGAAGGAUUUCGGUUCGUAAAGCUCUGUUGUUAGGGAAGAAUGAUUGUAUAGUAACUAUAUACAGUAGAGACGGUACCUAACCAGAAAGCCACGGCUAACUACGUGCCAGCAGCCGCGGUAAUACGUGGGUGGCAAGCGUUGUCCGGAAUUAUUGGGCGUAAAGCGCGCGCAGGUGGUUUAAUAAGUCUGAUGUGAAAGCCCACGGCUCAACCGUGGAGGGUCAUUGGAAACUGUUAAACUUGAGUGCAGGAGAGAAAAGUGGAAUUCCUAGUGUAGCGGUGAAAUGCGUAGAGAUUAGGAGGAACACCAGUGGCGAAGGCGGCUUUUUGGCCUGUAACUGA